UCCAACCUCAAAUUUCAAUUUUCUAAAUACGAAACAUUUCCGUGAACCGCGCACAUUGCGCCGAUCGAUUUGAAAAUCGUUGGGGGGACAAAAAGGUGGGCGGGGUCCACAUGCACGGAAUCAAAGGGGUUUAAUUGGAGAGUGGCAUGGCUUUUCAACGACGUGGCAUUAGAGCUGCAUUGAACACGUGGAAUGAUCGAAACCUGUGUUUUCUACGUCAUUUUUCAACAAAAGUGGUCUGAUUCCGAGGAAACUUGUCAAUGAUCGUGCUAUACAAUGGACACAGGAUUCUACAAGGCAGAAGUUCUGAAAUUUGACAAUAAAUGGAGACCAAGAACAUUUUCUUUUAUAAAUCCAAGUUUCUUCUAUUGUUACAGGAGCAAUGAUUUAUUUCAGGAACCUGAGCAUACAGAUGUUGUUGAUAAAAAGAAGUUACCUAUUGUAAAACAGAAUGAAAACUGCAAGUACAAAGGGAGAGGCUGUAUAUUUUUUAUUUGAAAUAUUUAAAUAUGAAUGGUGAAAAAGGAAGAAAAAUGUGCAAAAAAUAAAUAUCAUUUUUAAGAGUAUCUAUUUUGCAUUUAACUGCAUUUUAAUAAGUACUCCAUCAUAUUUGAAAUUGCAUAUUAUACAUGGCUGUCAGGCAAUGCAAUGCUUCAAAAUGAUCCAAGAUUCACUUUGUGUGGGUGAUAUAUGUAUUUGCUCGCAUUCCACGUGUCAGUUCAAUUAAGUCUCAUAUACAUCAAGAUCCUUGAUGCAUAACGAGAAUUCUAGGGAAAAAAAAAUGAAACAGCCGAGAAGAACACUUUGAUAUUCAAAAAAGAAAGAUUUUCUUUUGAAAUAUAUAAAUUUAUAAAUGAAUAAUAACUUGAUUAACUUAUAUGAAAUAUUCUAUAUCCAUAAAUGAACAUUUCAAGUAACAACAUCCUGAUAAUUACAAUUAAUAAAAGAAUUCAUUAAAAAUAUAAUAAAUUGUCGCAUCUCUUGAAGAUUUAAAGUUUUAGAUCAAAUUGUAUGAAACAUCCUGUGUCCACGAUAUUUAACUUUCAGUAGUAAAAUCAAGCAAUUACAAUCGAUAAAAAGAAUUCAUUAAAAAAUUCAAUGAGUUGUCACACUUCUUAAAAGCCGUUCAUUACCUGGCCAUAACAUGAAAUAUUUCGAGGACAUCCAGUUCAUUAAAAACGAGUUCUCGACUCGUGAUAUUAAUUCUUCCCGAUGAUAAUUAAAGUAAGAAAGAAAACGACAAUUUACUUGGAGCAACUUAAUACAAUGAGUUCAUUAAUGAGGAUCCAUACAUCACAGAUUAUGCAAGAUAUAUGAGUGUUGGCCACAGGCAUCGAUAAUUAACAGUUGAAUCAAAAUGAUCAUUCGAUGUGUAAUAGCAUCACAAUUAUUCACGUCGAUCGACACACUGCUGAUCACGUUAUACCUAUUGUCACUGCAUUUGACAGACGCGUCAAUCAAUUUAUAACACAGGCACGGAAGCUAUACGUCCCGUGCAUCCUGAAACAUGGCGAUCAACGGAAGCCCUCGAAAGUGAAAAAUCCCUUGAAAAAUAGAACGGCUGCCAGGAUGAUCCGUUGUAUAUUGGAGAUAGUUUGGUGAAAAUUGAAAUUUUUCAUCGCGCCGCUUGAACCAUUGUGCAGGGCAUAACAGAGCAAAGCAGAGUAAAUUUUAAGGAAGGAAAUAGGAAGGAUAAAAGAUAUGAAAGGAUCAUAAAAAUAAGAAAUAGACAUGAAGAGAAGAGAAAAAGAUAGAUGAAGAUUAAAAAUAAGAAAAAGAAUG